rnacentral:rRNA from 1 species
GAUGAACGCUGGCGGCGUGCCUAAUACAUGCAAGUCGAGCGAACAGACGAGGAGCUUGCUCCUUUGACGUUAGCGGCGGACGGGUGAGUAACACGUGGGUAACCUACCUAUAAGACUGGGAUAACUUCGGGAAACCGGAGCUAAUACCGGAUAAUAUUUCGAACCGCAUGGUUCGAUAGUGAAAGAUGGCUUUGCUAUCACUUAUAGAUGGACCUGCGCCGUAUUGGCUAGUUGGUAAGGUAACGGCUUACCAAGGCAACGAUACGUAGCCGACCUGAGAGGGUGAUCGGCCAAACUGGAACUGAGACACGGUACAGACGCCUACGGGAGGAAGCAGUAGGGAAUCUUCCGCAAUGGGCGAAAGCCUGACGGAGCAAAGCCGCGUGAGAGAUGAAGGUCUUCGGAUCGUAAAACUCUGUUAUUAGGGAAGAACAAACGUGUAAGUAACUGUGCACGUCUUGACGGUACCUAAUCAGAAAGCCACGGCUAACUACGUG